AUACGGAGGGUGCAAGCGUUACUCGGAAUCACUGGGCGUAAAGCGCGCGCAGGCGGGCUGAUAAGUUGGAUGUGAAAGCCUACGGCUCAACCGUAGAACUGCAUCCAAAACUGUCAGUCUAGAGUCUGAGAGGGGAAGAUGGAAUUAGUUGUGUAGGGGUAAAAUCCGUAGAGAUAACUAGGAAUACCAAAAGCGAAGGCGAUCUUCUGGAACAGUACUGACGCUGAGGCGCGAAAGCGUGGGGAGCAAACAGAAUUAGAUACCCUAGUAGUCC
rnacentral:rRNA from 1 species